ensembl:lncRNA CHROMR cholesterol induced regulator of metabolism RNA
GCCCACACCCCUCCCCAUCCUCUCCUCCGCGCCGCCGUCUUCGUUGCUCUUGGGUGGCCGCGGCGCCCGCUCCCUCUGAAUUCGCCGGGCAGGGAUACAGCCGCCCGGGGCCUCUUGCUCGUGCUUGGUUUUCCGGACCUUGCUUCCUAAAGGGUCUUUAGGGGUUCCCGGACUCCUCCGCCUGGGAGCCUCUAUCCGCCUGGGAGCCUCUAUGCGCCCCGCAAAGCCCCCGGCAGAGCCGAGGGGAGGCUUCAUUGGCGACCUGGUGGGGCCUCGCGGCCCUGCUCCCUGACGUCAGCGCCGCCGCGGUGAUUUAACAGCUUUUGUUUUGGGCAGAAGAACCUAUGGGCACAAAAAGCAGGAACGAGUAGCGGUGGCUGAAGAACGAGCAGGAGCUUGAAUUUCAGUUUUCUUAUGAGGAAUUUUCCAGAAAAGAUAUCUUCACUGUGAAAUAACUAAAUAAAUGCCCACUCAGUACAGUCACUGUCUCCCUUUUGGAACUUGAUGGCACCUUAAGCCCAGGUUUGCCUCCACUCUAGAAACUCAUCAGAGUGAUGCCCUUCUCAAAUGGGGGAGGUCCCAAAGCGGAUAUCCUGGCAGUGUGAAAGGCCGGCUAAAGGUUUGUGCCAAGAGGAUCUGUGGAAUGCAUCUCCUACAGCUGGUGCUGCUGAGUAACCACUCUGAUCUGGCAUCUUCUUUGAUCAAGUUACAGAGCAGAGUUUCCAGGGCUGGGGAUUGAAGUCCUGCCUCCUCCCUUUGUCUCUGGUUGUCCUCGCUUUCCCUGCACUCCAAACACAGAGCUGAGACUUCCACCUAAUGUAGAAAGCUAGCACGAGCCGGCGCUGACAGAUGGAAGACUUGAGAUGUUACAAGAUUAUAUAUGGAAACACAAAAGGAGUGGAGUUGCUGGGUCAUAUGGCAAUUCAUUUGAGGAACUGAGAAGCUUAUUCCAUGGAGGCUGAACUGUUUUAUAUUCCCACCAGCAACGUUAGAGACGGGGUUUCACCGCGUUAGCCAGAAUGGUUUCUAUCUCCUGACCUCAUGAUCCGCCCACCUCGGCCUCCCAAAGUGCUGGGAUUACAGGCGUGAGCCACUGUGCCUGGCCAAACGCUGGUAGGUUUUGAGUGAGACCACAUUACAUUUAAAUAUAUUUACAAUGUUUUCUGCUCUAUUCUUUAGUAGACUUUUCCUCACGUGGUCCUACGCAUUUCUUUCUAAGUUUAUUUUCAUAUAGCCUAUCCCUGUCUACAAUUUAAAUUGGGAUCUUCUAUAUUCUAGUUAUUAUUUGUAAAUAAGAAAACUACUGACUUUUUUCUAGUAUAUUUUCUCAGAAUAGGAUUUUCUAUUUUUCUAUAAAAUGACCAAUGUUAUGAAGCUUCGUAAGUUUUGUCAAAGUGAUACACACAUACAGCAAAAAAUCAAAUAGUACAGAAGUAUAAAAGCAACAACCUCUGCCUUGCCCCUUCUCCACCUUCAGGUCCCCUUCCCAGAUACAAUAAUUUUUAGCUUUUUAUUUUUAAUUAUUCUGGUUGUUACCUACAUAACUCUGGGCAAUAUGGAAAAGUUAUUGAUUUUGUAUAUUAAUUUCAUAAUCAGUUACCUUGAUGAAUUCUCUUGUUUCUAGUAGUUUUUCUUUAGGGUUUUAAAGGGAUACAAUCAUACCAUUUGCAGUUAGUAACCAUUUUAUCUCCUCUUAUUUCCAACUUCGUACUGUUUUCUCUUGUCUAAUUUGUUUUUAAUUGGUGGGUACUUCUAGAACAAGGUUAAAUAAAAGUGGUGUUGGUGGGCGUCCUUAUUUCUGAUAUUAAUGGGAAUGAGUAUAAUGUAUAAAUAUAUAACCAUGAUUUUGGUUUUUUUCCAAGUUUUUAUCAGUAAUGAUUGCUGAGUUUUAUCAAAAUUUUUUUGGCAUCCAUUGAGAGGAUUAUAUAUUACUCUUUGACACAUUAAUGUGGUUAAUUAAAGUAACCAACUUAUUAACCUUGAAAUAGUCUUAGUUAAAUAAACCCUACUUGUCAAUGCUAUAUCAUUAUUUUAAUAUUGUACUGAACAUUUUACAAAGGUGUUUCACCAUAAGGCAUAUUGAUCUGUAAUUUUUUUUUUUCUGUUGAACUUGCUAUUGUCAGGUUUUGGUGUAUUAUGUUGGUUUUGGAGAAUAAAUUUAAAAGUUUCCUUUAUGUUAUCUAUACAUUGCCUGAAAAGAGUUUAAAUAGCAUUGAAAAUGAUCUCUUCUUUGAAGAUUUAACCAAUUUCACCUGUAAAUCUGUCUGUGCUUUGUAAUUUUGGUGAUACUGUUGACUCAAAUUCCAAAAGCAGUAAAUGCAGUGUUUUAUAUUUUUCUAUUAAAAAUGUAAAAUCAAAUUAUAUUA